rnacentral:rRNA from 1 species
UACGUAGGAGGCAAGCGUUAUCCGGAAUGACUGGGCGUAAAGGGUGCGUAGGUGGUUUGACAAGUUGGUAGCGCAACUCCGGGGCUCAACCCCGGCCCGCCGUUGAAACUGGCAGUCUCGAGUUGGAGAGAAGUAUGCGGAAUGCGCGGUGUAGCGGUGAAAUGCAUAGAUAUCGCGCAGAACUCCGAUUGCGAAGGCAGCAUGCCGGCUCCACACUGACGCUGAGGCACGAAAGCGUGGGUAUCGAACAGG